AGAGAGAGAGAGAGAGGCUGCCAAUUUCUAGAGAGAGAAGGAGGAGGAAAAAUGUGAAGAAGGAGUGAAAGAAAAAGGAGAAGAGGAAGAAGGGCAUUCGAAGUCUCUAAGGUUCUAAUCUCACAAGAGCAUAGAGAUUGUGGUUAAGGGUUUCGGCCUACUAGGGUGUUGGAGGCUAGCAAACAAGAGGGUGACCAUAAUUAUUUUUGAGUUCUUUGAUUUGUAUCAAAGAAGGUAGCAAAUAGGGUUUCUCAUUGGCACGCGUGGUGAUGCGGGGAGUUCCAACGUCAGGGUGUGUAUGGCGUGGGGUUAUCCUAUGGGUGAACAAAUGAUCAGCUUAAAACGCCAAAAUUUAUUGGACGAUGUUAUGUUUUUAUUUUGAUUUCCAAACUUUUCAGUGGGACUUGAACUAUAUUUAUUUUUAAAACAUUGCACGAGAACUUUUAUUUUAUUUUAAACUAUUGGGCCCAACUUACAUGUUU